CCCUUAGAUGUUCUGGGCCGCACGCGCGCUACACUGACUACUUCAACGAGUUGUUUCCUAGAUCGAAAGGUCUGGGUAAUCUUUGAAAGGUAGUCGUGAUGGGGAUAGAUCCUUGCAAUUUUUGAUCUUCAACGAGGAAUUCCUAGUAAACGCAAGUCAUCAGCUUGCAUUGAUUACGUCCCUGCCCUUUGUACACACCGCCCGUCGCACCUACCGAUUGAAUGGUCCGGUGAAUCUUUAGGACUGUGGCUGAGGCCUUGCCUUGUGCGGGUCUGGCCGUGGGAAUUUAGUUAAACCUUACCAUUUAGAGGAAGGUGAAGUCGUANCA
rnacentral:rRNA from 1 species